UCUAAAUCCAACACAACCAGUCAUUCUCCACCACCAACUUCACAGAAUCCGGAAUACCUGCAAUCCAGUUCCCGCAUAUUCCUCUUCUCCGUCCUUCCAUCGCCAAAACGUGAGCCGCCCUAUUAAUCGUCCGAGGCACAUAAAUGUAAGUGACUUCUUCAAACAAUUGUUGUAAACACUGAAUAUGAAAAGUAAUCGGCCUAAGAACCGAUCUGUCUUCCUCUGUUUUCAUAAUAGAUUUAAUGACUGUUAAAGAGUCACCUUCCACGAUCAGACGCCGAAAGCCCAUCAUACGCGCGAAUAGCAACGCCCUUUCGCAAGCUCGUGCUUCUGCCACAAAAGCAUCACCAACCUCCUCAAACAGAUAAGUAUCAGUCCCUGCAACCUUUCCUCUACUAUCUCUGGCUAAUACUGCUGUUAUAGCAAUCUUCUUCUCCGGUAAAUAAGACGCAUCAAAAUUAAGCUUGAUAAUAUCAGAUUCAGGAGGCCUCCAAAUAUCCUUGCCCCGACAACCAGAAGAUAAAAGAGGAUUCUUGUUAACUAACCAAGUAUCAUGGUCAUACCCCCUAAUGAAUCCCAAUACCUUUGACAUUGAGAACUUAACCCCUUCAUGGACCAACUUGUUUCUAUGAUACCAAAGACACCAUAAAGAGAUUGAAAUGAGUCUUCUUUGUCGACCAUCUUCUGCAAGAAAUGUACUAACAAAACAAUUUUUAUAAUCCAGCGAAGCAUCAAAAUGAGGGAGUUUGAUUUGCAACGAAGUC
rnacentral:lncRNA from 1 species